rnacentral:rRNA from 1 species
CCCUUCGGGGAACCCGGUGACAGGUGCUGCAUGGCUGUCGUCAGCUCGUGUCGUGAGAUGUUGGGUUAAGUCCCGCAACGAGCGCAACCCUUGUCUUUAAUUGCCAUCAUUUAGUUGGGCACUUUAAAGAGACUGCCGGUGUUAAGCCGGAGGAAGGUGGGGAUGACGUCAAGUCCUCAUGGCCUUUAUGCCCAGGGCUACACACGUGCUACAAUGGGCGGUACAAAGAGAAGCGACCUCGCGAGGGUGAGCAAAUCUCAAAAAGCCGUUCUCAGUUCGGAUUGAAGUCUGCAACUCGACUUCAUGAAGUCGGAAUCGCUAGUAAUCGCGGAUCAGCAUGCCGCGGUCGAAUACGUUCCGGGCCUU